AAGGUGGGGAUGACGUCAAGUCCUCAUGGCCCUUACAGGCUGGGCUACACACGUGCUACAAUGGCGGUGACAGUGGGCAGCUACUUCGCGAGAAGAUGCUAAUCUCUAAAAGCCGUCUCAGUUCGGAUUGUUCUCUGCAACUCGAGAGCAUGAAGGCGGAAUCGCUAGUAAUCGCGGAUCAGCAUGCCGCGGUGAAUACGUUCCCAGGCCUUGUACACACCGCCCGUCACACCAUGGGAGUUGGAUUCACUCGAAG
rnacentral:rRNA from 1 species